UACAAGCAUAGAUCCAGCAUUUUCAAAAUGAUGCAUGUGGAGAGGAUUUGUCGAAUCAAGAAGUGGAUUUGUAGAAUCUGUUUUUUCCUCGUUGACAACCAUACUUAUCGAUUUGUUUUUGAAGAGAAAUUGACCUCGUUUGAACCUUUUCUAAGAAAUCGAGCUGAAAUUGGGGAAGUUGAAAUUUUGCACAGUAAAUUGUCAUAGGGAUGUAAUUGAGUGAAGAAUCAGCAAAUUGAGCUUAGGACUGAGAUCCUCGUUCUGAUACCAUGUCGAAAUUACAGAGGAAGUAAGAGAGAAAGAUCACCUUGAUUGAGCUAUAAUGGAGGUCAGAGGAAAGUAGGGUUCUUCUAGAAGCUUCUCUUUC
rnacentral:lncRNA from 1 species